rnacentral:rRNA from 1 species
UACGGGGGGGGCAAGCGUUGUUCGGAAUUACUGGGCGUAAAGGGCUCGUAGGUGGCCAACUAAGUCAGACGUGAAAUCCCUCGGGUUAACCGGGGAACUGCGUCUGAUACUGGAUGGCUUGAGUUCGGGAGAGGGAUGCGGAAUUCCAGGUGUAGCGGUGAAAUGCGUAGAUAUCUGGAGGAACACCGGUGGCGCAGGCGGCAUCCUGGACCGACACUGACGCUGAGGAGCGGAAGCCAGGGGAGCAAACGGG